CCUACGGGUGGCUGCAGUGGGGAAUAUUGGACAAUGGGCGAAAGCCUGAUCCAGCCAUGCCGCGUGUGUGAAGAAGGCCUUCGGGUUGUAAAGCACUUUCAGUGGGGAAGAAAGCCUUGGGGCUAAUACCCUCGAGGAAGGACAUCACCCACAGAAGAAGCACCGGCUAACUCCGUGCCAGCAGCCGCGGUAAUACGGAGGGUGCGAGCGUUAAUCGGAAUUACUGGGCGUAAAGCGCGCGUAGGCGGUCUGAUAAGCCGGUUGUGAAAGCCCCGGGCUCAACCUGGGAACGGCAUCCGGAACUGUCAGGCUAGAGUGCAGGAGAGGAAGGUAGAAUUCCCGGUGUAGCGGUGAAAUGCGUAGAGAUCGGGAGGAAUAACAGUGGCGAAGGCGGCCUUCUGGACUGACACUGACGCUGAGGUGCGAAAGCGUGGGUAGCAAACAGGAUUAGAUACCCUGGUAGC
rnacentral:rRNA from 1 species